AUAUGAGAACCUACCUUACAGGCAUAUAUUCUUUAUCCUCUGCGAAAAAUGACUAAUAUUACUGCAGCUUAGUUGUGACAGUCUUGCCUGAAAGCAUGAACUCAUGAUGCAAGGACCGAUUCAUUAUUUCCAUCCAUCCAUUGUCCAAUCUGCUUUAUCCUCACAAGGGUCGUGGGCGUGCUGGGGACCAUCCCAGCUGCCUUCAGGCAGUGUGCGGGCGAGACAACGCAAAAGCUGAGUUAAAAGAAGCCGGAACUUGAGAAGAGAGCAAAUGACUUAAUUUUCGAUGGUUUCGUAUGGGACGAUGAGUCUGGGACAGAUACAAAGGUGGCUUUACGAGCCCUUUGUUGGCUUUGCUCACGACGGGAAUGAAUUACCAGAAGGAACGAGCAACUUUGCGGAGGCUUGUACUUGAUAUCGGCAGGCGUGCUUGGACAAGUUUGGAUAGGCCCGAUCUUAGGUGCUCACAAAGGUUCAUCUGGAUGAAGGGGCGAACAUUCCUCCACACUUUAUUCUCAAAGAUGUUGAGAAAACAAUCGGGAUGUGCUUUUUGUCUUCCAUCCAUCCAUUUUUUAAUCGGCUUAUCCCCACGAGGGUCGCGGGUGUGCUGGAGCAUAUCCCAGCCAUCUUCGGAACUGGUUGCCAGCCAGUCACAGGACACACAUUAACGAACGACCAGAGUCACACCUAGGCGCAAUUUAGACUGUUCAAUUAGCCUGCUAUGCAUGUUUUUGGAAUGUGGGAGGAAACCGGAGAAAACCCACAUCCAUCAAAUUCCAAAUCUCAGCCAAACAAACUGGAGUAGAAACAGGACAGUGCUACAGUAUGCUACAUUUGUUUUUUUAUUUUUUUUGGGGGGGGGGGGGUUAAUGAUCAAACUUGAUAAUGAUCUAUAGCUAAUUAAACCAGUUGAUUCAACUCUGUUUUACAUAUAAAUUAAGUUUGAGGAAAUAUUUAAAUUUUGGGAAGUACACAAAAGUAGGAUUAUUUUCCACCAAAUUGUCAUCUACCCGAAUGAAGUGGGGCAAUUUUCCACUUGCCCUCAUGCAAAAUUGAUCAUGAUAAAUUUUGGCCACCGAUGGAAUGUAAGCAAGCUUGCUGACACAAGACGACAAAUUCAGACCACCAUUCUUUUUUUUUUUUUAAUUUAAAGCUUUCUGUCGCCUUCCCUUGAACCAAGUGAGCAACGACUCAGCAUUUUUUUUUUGACAUCCUGUAAAAUCUCAAGGUCAACACAUCUAAAAUAAUUUGUCAAGUUUCACCGCAAGCGUGAAACCGCAUUUUAUUUCGAAGGGGAUUUUCACAAGCUAAACCCUUUCCGCUUUUCCUUUUUGCUCUUUGUCAGAGGCUGCCUGCACAUUUUCCUCACACGCAAGGACAGAUUCAAUUACAAAAGCAGAGAGAAAAAUGAGCUCUGCAAUAGAAAAAAAAAAAAAAGAAAAACGUCGGAAAAUUCAGACUGGUGGGAGAAAAUGCCAGAUAGACAUGAUUAAAGAGUAUAAAAAAAAAAA